GGUUAGGAAUAAAGCUGCUGCAAAUCGUGACAAGUAAGUAUGAUUUAAGGUCUGACUUUACUUUUGAUUACUCAAGAGUUCCUAGAAACUUUAGUUGCAUAAUUGUACGCUGAUGAUAUUAGAUGUCACCUUUUAGGUAUGUUGGAGUAUCAUCUUCUGGAGUGUCAUAUAAGUCAAGCUCUGCCUCUUUCAGUAGCAGCAGCGGCAGCUUUCGGAGUAGCGAGCGAUAUGGAGGUUUUGGAAAUAAAAGCGAUGGUGAUUCAUUUAAGGAUAGUUACAGUGAAAAGGAUCGAUAUGAUGAAGAUAAGAUUGAUCAAAGUACUUAUAAGUCAAAGAAGGGAUCUUCUAGUUAUGGCAGGGCAGGCACCCUGCUUGUUUAUGUAUUUAUUUAUUUAUUUAUUUGUCUUAGAGAAGUAUAGCUAACUACCUUUUAUUCUGCACUGCCUUUGCCCCAUUUAGCUGUUUAAUCUUGGGGUUUUUGCAUGAAAAAGACUCAUCUUUGGGGUUUUGGCCUAGGGUUGUUCAUGUUUUCACAUAGCUGCUGAACCUGUUAUCUGGUGAUGCAUAACCAUUCAAGUGCAUACUCUUUCAAAG
rnacentral:lncRNA from 1 species